UUUUAAAUAGUGUAAAUAACACUUAACAUUUUCGUUGUUAAAAUUCCUUUUUGGAUUUAAAUC
rnacentral:tRNA from 1 species